rnacentral:misc_RNA from 1 species
GAUGAAGAACGUAGCGAAAUGCGAUACUUGGUGUGAAUUGCAGAAUCCCGUGAACCAUCGAGUCUUUGAACGCAAGUUGCGCCUGAAGCCAUUAGGCCGAGGGCACGCCUGCCUGGGCGUCACACGUCGUUGCCCCCCCAUCUACUCCUUCGGGAUUGCGGGGGGCGGAUGAUGGCCUCCCGUGCGCCUCGUCGCGCGGUUGGCAUAAAUGCCAAGUCCUCGGCGACACACGCCACGACAAUCGGUGGUUGCGAAACCUCGGUUGCCCGUCGUGUGCGGUCGUCGCGCAUCGAGGGCUCGAAAAAAUUGCCGGGCUCCGGCUCGGCUUUCAACGCGACCCCAGGUCAGGCGGGGUUACCCGCUGAAUUUAAGCAUAUCAAUAAGCGGAGGA